GAUGAACGCUGGCGGCGUGCCUAAUACAUGCAAGUCGAGCGAACAGACGAGGAGCUUGCUCCUCUGACGUUAGCGGCGGACGGGUGAGUAACACGUGGAUAACCUACCUAUAAGACUGGGAUAACUUCGGGAAACCGGAGCUAAUACCGGAUAAUAUAUUGAACCGCAGGGUUCAAUAGUGAAAGACGGUUUUGCUGUCACUUAUAGAUGGAUCCGCGCCGCAUUAGCUAGUUGGUAAGGUAACGGCUUACCAAGGCAACGAUGCGUAGCCGACCUGAGAGGGUGAUCAGCCACACUGGAACUGAGACACGGUCCAGACUCCUACGGGAGGCAGCAGUAGGGAAUCUUCCGCAAUGGGCGAAAGCCUGACGGAGCAACGCCGCGUGAGUGAUGAAGGUCUUCGGAUCGUAAAACUCUGUUAUUAGGGAAGAACAAAUGUGUAAGUAACUAUGCACGUCUUGACGGUACCUAAUCAGAAAGCCACGGCUAACUACGUG
rnacentral:rRNA from 1 species